rnacentral:rRNA from 1 species
GUGAGGAAUAUUGGUCAAUGGGCGGGAGCCUGAACCAGCCAAGUCGCGUGAAGGAAGAAGGAUCUAUGGUUCGUAAACUUCUUUUGCAGGGGAAUAAAGUGCGGGACGUGUCCUGUUUUGUAUGUACCCUGAGAACAAGGAUCGGCUAACUCCGUGCCAGCAGCCGCGGUAAUACGGAGGAUCCGAGCGUUAUCCGGAUUUAUUGGGUUUAAAGGGUGCGUAGGUGGUUUGAUAAGUCAGCGGUGAAAGUUUGCAGCUUAACUGUAAAAAUGCCGUUGAAACUGUCGGACUUGAGUGUAAAUGAGGUAGGCGGAAUGCGUGGUGUAGCGGUGAAAUGCAUAGAUAUCACGCAGAACUCCGAUUGCGAAGGCAGCUUACUAAGCUACAACUGACACUGAAGCACGAAAGCGUGGGGAUCAAACAGGAUUAGAUACCCUUGUAGUCC